rnacentral:rRNA from 1 species
CGGAGGGGGCGAGCGUUAUUCGGAAUUAUUGGGCGUAAAGGGCGCGUAGGCGGCUUGUUAAGUCAAAGGUGAAAUCCCUCGGCUCAACUGAGGAACUGCCUUUGAAGCUAGCGAGCUUGAGGCCGGGAGGGGGUAGCGGAAUUCCCAGUGUAGCGGUGAAAUGCGUAGAUACUGGGAGGAACACCAGUGGCGAAGGCGGCUACCUGGACCGGUACUGACGCUGAGGCGCGAAAGCGUGGGUAGCAAACAGGAUUAGAUACCCUGGUAGUCCACGCUGUAAACGAUGGGUGCUCGGUGUCGCGGGUAUCGACCCCUGCGGUGCCUUAGCUAACGCGUUAAGCACCCCGCCUGGGGAGUACGGUCGCAAGGCUG